UAUUACCUACGGGGCGCAGCAGUGGAGAAUAUUGGACAAUGGGGGGAACCCUGAUGCAGCGACGCCGCGUGAGUGAAGAAGUAUUUCGGUAUGUAAAGCUCUAUCAGCAGGGAAGAAAAUGACGGUACCUGACUAAGAAGCCCCGGCUAACUACGUGCCAGCAGCCGCGGUAAUACGUAGGGGGCAAGCGUUAUCCGAAUUUACUGGGUGUAAAGGGAGCGUAGACGGUGAUGCAAGUCAGAAGUGAAAGCCCGCGGCUCAACUGCGGGACUGCUUUGGAAACUGUAUGACUGGAGUGCAGGAGG
rnacentral:rRNA from 1 species